AAGACUAGAGUGGUGAUCGCCUCAGAGGUCUGGGAGGGUUAACCGAGUUCAUAUCUUUAAAGAAGGGAGGACAAUGCUGGUCCAAGCAGAAGCUGAGUAAAUGUUAGCCACUGUUACAGGUCAGAGGAGAGCUGGGGGGCCAGGCCGUGGCCUCCUCAGGCCCUAGGCCCUGAAUUGGAGCUGUGUCCAAACCCAAGUGUGAUGAGAGGUGACCAGUUGUCCGGGCUCCCCGUGCUGGGGCGGGAGGAGGUAACCAUGGCAACACCUGUCGGUUAUCAGCCGUUGUUUCUUUGGAGCUCCCAAUUCAUCAGAUUUCGUGAAUCAGAAUCUCUGAGAUGGGUGGAGAUGAAACGGGCUUGCCUGGUGUGAAAGAUCCAGGACAUUCAGGGCUUAUUGCUUACAGAGUGCUUUCACAAGCACUGUUCAUUGGAUGCUCACAACAGUCUUGAGAGUUGUGGGUCCUUCUGGCUGUGGCAUGUGGGACGCUGCCUCAGCGCGGCCACUGAGCGGCACCAUGUUCUCGCUGAGGACUCGAACCGGCGAAACCCCGGGCCGCCUGCAGCGGAGCCCAGGAACUUAACCACUCGGCCACAGGGCCGGCGCCAGAGUUAAAUUUUUUAUAAUAUUACUACUAUUGUCUUUUAAUAAAAGUAUAAUUUGCUUAUUUCAACAUUUCAGGCUGUCUUUCUUAGUUGUCUCCUCUUUACUAGGAAUAAUUAAUGUGUUCUGCUUUUAGUACAGCCUUUAGUCCAGGCUAGGAAGCAUAGUGGACAGGCGAUGCUGACCAGGGACCGGCUUCUCCAUUCACACACCAGUUG
rnacentral:lncRNA from 1 species